ACGUGUGCCAAUUCGACUGCUCUCUCGGCUUGAAAGAAUUGCCACUUUUAAGGAAGGGUCUGUACUGCCAGGCGUUGCUUCCUGCUGGCAUGCGAAAACUAAUGGUCACGAUGAGACAUCUCUCAGGCUGUGAUGAUCAUUAGAGGGAACCAAGAUGGGAUACAGUAAGCCCCGCCUGAAGUCCCCUUCAGAAGUUUCCGUGAGAAAUGAUGAGUCUGAAGUGGGUUUGGGACAAUGGCAAGGAUCUAAAAGAUGCUGACGCAAAGACUUGAAAAGACUUGGAGCCUGGAUAUGUGAGAUGAGGAACUGGAAAGGAACUCUGUGAGCAACCUUAGAUAAUGAGGAGGAGGAGCCAUUAAAGAAAGAAGCUGAAGAUACAGGGGCGAGUGAGGCUAAACAACGGAGGAUGCUGCCAAGGAGGCAGGAGGGAAGAAUCUAGAGAAGCAGAAAACAAGAUCAUCUGUUGAAAGUGAGGGAGGAUGCCCAAGACUCGGUGGUUGGAGUAGUCAUCAUAGACAAUGGCCAAGAGAAAGAAAAUGAGGGAAGCCCAGACCGAAAGUCCAGGCAAAACUGAAAGUCCAGCUGAAGAUCUGUGAGUCGUGUGACUUUCUCCACCAGCGUGAAGGGUUUAAGUAGAAAACUAAACACAAAAUUUCAGCAGUGAGGAGUUGCAACAACUCCGAAGUCCAGCUGGGAGAAGUGCUAUCUAAAGUCUGUAGUGUACGGAAUGCAUUCUUUUCCUUCCACUUCUGUGAUUAUUCCACUUCUUGAAUCAGAGUCCCAGAGGGCUACACAUGUGGACCACAAGACCUCACUCCCUAUGUUUCAGUUAGAUUUUCUGGCCUUUAGAGCUACCCAGAGAAGGGUCCAUGUGGCAUUGCCCCCAGUUCCUGUUGUGACUUAAAGGAAAACUUUCACAAUGUCUGGAGCCCUUGAUGUCCUGUAAAUGAAGGAGAAUAAUGUCCCUGAAUUCCUUGCAGCAGGAGCCCACUUAGAUGGCACUAACCUUGACUUCAAAACAGCAUGGUACAUCUGCAAAAGGAAAAAUGAUGGCAUCUACACUGUAAGUUCGAAGAGAACCUGAGAGAAGCUUCUGCUGGUAGCUCAUGCCAGUGUGACCCAUUGAAAACCCGGCUGACAUCAGCGUCAUAUCCUUCAAGAAUAUCAAUCAGCAGAGUGUGCUGAAGUUUUCUGCUGCCACUGCAGUUACUCCUGUUACUGGUUGCUUCACUCCUCAAACCCUCACUAACCAGAUCCAGGCAGCUUUCCAGACUCCAGACUUCCGGUGGUUACUGAUCCCAGGGCUGCCCACCAGCCUCUCCCAGAGGUGCUUACAUUAACCUGCCUGCCAUUGCUAUGUGUAACAGUCUCUCCUCCAUGCAAUGUGGACACGGCCAAUACGUACUACAACAACAAGGGAGGGGUGGCAGAUGGCAGCCAGGGAAGUUCUGCACGUGUGUGAUGCCACCUCCCGGGAGCAAGUCAUACCUGAUCUCUACUUCUACAGAGUUCCUGAAGUGAUUGCAGUAGAAGAGUAGGCCUCUAAUUAAAAGGCUGUGACCAAGGAGGAAUUUCAGGGUCAACAGACUGCUCCAGUUCCCUAAUGUACUGGUACACAACCAGGGGUGCAGACUGAUCUGAAGGUGUGUAGGUCCCCUCCAUGCCUAUCCAGCCAUUCCCUGUUGAAGCCUGGAGCAGCCAGCCUGCCACUGAAGACUGGCUGCAGUUCCCACUGAGCAGGCCACCAAAUAUGUAGGAACAACCAUUGAAUGGUCUUAAGAUGUUCUUCCACAGACUCUUAAACAGGAAAUGAAAAUUAGGUUGACAAGAAACAAAGUUUCCAAAAAGAAAUUUCUGAUUUCUUCUAGCCUAUCAAUUGAAGCCCAAACUCAUUGGAAUUUAUAACAAAGACCUGAGCCUCAUCCUAAACGUGUUAACCCAAAAUUCAAGUGAGUCUGAGGAUGUCUGGGACCCUAGUCUGAUAGGGGAAACUCUCGGAAUAUCUUUAUAUGAGGACAAGAGGAGCCACAAGAUAGGGAACACAUCUUAAGGGAUGAGAGAAUCAAUGUAUUGAUAUCUUCAAUAUUCAUACAAGCAAAGUGCACAAUUAGUAUUUCACCAAAUCUACUGUAAGGCAAUGAGCACAGGUAUCAGCGUUACUGGUACCAAGAGUUACAAUCUGAGGACAUUACUUAUUUGGAGUAAAGCAUCAUUCCAAGUCCUUGUCCGACAUUGUCUCAUUUAAUAUAGCAAUCUUCUGAGGAAGUAUUAUCAUUGUUUCCCUUUAAUGGUGGAAGAAACCGAGGCUUGAGAUGCUAAGUGACUUUCCUGAGAUCACACAGCAGGUUAUUAGCAGCAUCAAGAUCCAAACUAACCUGGACACCUCCCUGAUGACAGGAGUAUCAUCAGUCCACCAAGUCAAGUGCACAGGAAACAACUGAAAAUUUCUUUAACUCAGUUUUAUUUCCACUUUAAGCCUCAUCCUGAAACUUCUAUGAGUAUUAACCUGGGUCAUGUUAAGAUUUCACCUCUCCCAUUCCACUCCGAGUUAACAAAAAUAUUUGGUGCUGAUGUGGCACCAAGGCACAGGGUGAACCCUGGACCUUGGUAAUCUGCUCACACUAGAUACUAAGACAACCAUCGUCCCAUUCAUUGUGGCCCCUGGACCAUGGGCCAGAGUUCCGUAUGAGCCCUUCUAGUCUCCUCCACUCAUACAGCCUCAAAGCUCAUGUUUCUGUUACCCACCAGGAGCCUGGACACAUUGAGCCUAUGAGCCUGGUUAGAGACCCACAAAGCCGCCGUCUCCAUGGUCUUGCUUGCUUUAGUCCCUUCUGCUUUUGGGACCCAGCACUCUGACAGCACGAUCAGGAACUAGAGCAUAAACUCGUUCAUCUCUUUCUCCACAGCCCUGGGCCCUGGGCAAUAUUCCUCAGCUUGUGGAAUCCUUUACCCACUAUGUUUAUUAUUAAGGUCACUUUCUCUGGGCCCACAA